UACGGAGGGAGCUAGCGUUGUUCGGAAUUACUGGGCGUAAAGCGCACGUAGGCGGGCGGGAAAGUCAGAGGUGAAAUCCCAGGGCUCAACCCUGGAACGGCCUUUGAAACUUCCUGUCUUGAGGUCGAGAGAGGUGAGUGGAAUUCCGAGUGUAGAGGUGAAAUUCGUAGAUAUUCGGAGGAACACCAGUGGCGAAGGCGGCUCACUGGCUCGAUACUGACGCUGAGGUGCGAAAGCGUGGGGAGCAAACAGG
rnacentral:rRNA from 1 species